rnacentral:piRNA from 1 species
UGAAAUUCGCUUGUGGUAUUAUCUAAU